AGGCACUGGGAGGGAAGUGGGGGCACUGGGAUCGUACUGGGAGGCACUGGGAGGGAAGUGGAGGCUCUGGGAUUGUGCUGGGAUGUACUGGGAGGCACUGGGAGGGAAGUGGGGACACUGGGAUAGUACUGGGAGCAUUGGGAUAGUACUGGGGUAGUACUGGGAUAUAUACUGGGAGGCACUGGGAGGGAAAUGGGGCAUUGGGAUGUACUGGGAGGCACUGGCAGGGAACUGAGGGCACUGGGAUCGUACUGGGAUGUACUGGAAGGGAAGUGAGGGCACUGGGAUCGUACUGGGAGCAUUGGGAUAGUACUGGGGUAGUACUGGGAUAUACUGGGAGGCACUGGGAGGGAAGUGAAGGCACUGGGAUCGUACUGGGAGGUACUGGCAGGCACUGGGAGGGAUGUGGGGUCACUGGGAUCAUACUGGGGGACACUGGGUCGUACAGGGAUGGGGACAGGUUUUACUGGUGGGCUUUGGGUCAUACUGGGAUGGGGACAGGUUGUACUGGGAGCACUGGGUCAUACUGGGACGGUAGCGAAUUGUACUGGGUUACACUGGGCCAUACUGGGAUGGCUGCAGGUUUUACUGGAAUGGGGACAGGUUGCAACUGGGAGCACUGGGUCAUACUGGGAUGGCAGCAGGUUGUACUGGUGGGCACUGGGCCGUACUGGGAUGGCUGUAGGUUUUAGUGGGAUGGGGGCAGGUCGUACUGGGAGGCGUUGAGUUAUACUGGGUGGCACUGGGAUGUUCUGGGAAAUGACCCCGCGUGGCCUCCGUGACCUCCAUGACCUCCGUGACCCCUGUGUGACCCCGCUGUGACCCCAUAGGCCCCGCCCACCCUGCAGGGCAGCCAUGGCCGUAACAUCCUGCUGUCCAAUGGGAAUCGCACGGCCACCCGCGUCGCCAGUUACAACCAGGGACUGGUGAUACUGGGACAACCGCUGCCGCCUGGGAAGCUCUUCCAGGUGCAGAUCGAUGCGCUGAACCCGCAGUGGAGCUCCUCCCUGUCCCUGGGCGUCACCUCGUCCCCCCCCGAGCGCUGUCCCCUCCCUGCCUGCGCGGCUGCCCUCAAACGUUCUGCCUGGCUGCUGCAGCGCCGCAGCGUCUUCCACAAUGCCAAAAAGAUCUGCGACAACCAGGGCCCCAAAGUGGCCCCAAAUCACCCC